AUCAUGAGGUUGGAAGUCUGCAGGAGAGAGGUAUUUAAUGCAAAAGGGGAUUAAAUAAAAUAUAAAGUAUAUUUGAGGGUUCAGAAGGAAAAUAUAAUGUAGUGCAAUAUCAUCAUUAUAAGAACAAACAUUGGAAGCCACCUGGCUGUGCUUGAGUCCCCUCUCUAUUGGCUACACAUCUCCACUGUAUGAUCUAAAGCUUGCCACUUAAUCUCUGUCUCUUGCUUCAUCUGUAAAUUGACUAUAGGAAUAGUAUCUAUCUUACAGACAUGUGAAGACCACACAAUGUGUAUUGCUUUGUUACAAAUUACUGCAAAAUUUAGUGGCUUUAAACAAUGAUAAGCAUGUACUAUCUCUUAUAAUUUCUGUGGGACAAGAAGAUGCAUGGGCUUGGCUGGGGAGCCCUGACUCGAGGUCUGUGAUGAUGUGGCAACCAAGAUGAUAGGGCUCUACUGCAUCACUCACUGGCAAGUAGCGCUGGCUAUUGACAGGAGACCUCAGUUCCUCUCGAUGUGGGCCUCUCCCAAACAUGCUGAAGGGUCCUUAUGAUGUCGUGGCUGUGGCUGGCUUUCUCCAGGGCAAAUGAUAGAGAAGAAGAGCUUGGCAGAGGCUACCCUCUUUACGACCUAAUUUCAGAAUCAUCACAUCACUUCUUCCUUAUUCUACCCAGAAGAAUGAAUCAUUCUGUCCAGCCUGCAUUUGAGGGAAGUGGACACAAAAGGAGGUUAAGCUGGACGGAAGUGGCUUGUUCUUCGUCUGGUGGUCAGUGUUCUCAGAACAUCAGGACUGUCACAAGGAAUUGCAGUCAUCAUUUGCCCCCCUUUCUGCAAAAAUCUGAGGCAAUGGUCUAA
rnacentral:lncRNA from 1 species